rnacentral:tRNA from 2 species
ACGUACGGACUAAAAUCCGUUGGCUUUUUAGACCGUGAGGGUUCAAGUCCCUCUACCCCCA